rnacentral:rRNA from 1 species
GACGAACGCUGGCGGCGUGCUUAACACAUGCAAGUCGAACGGAAAGGCCCUGCUUUUGUGGGGUGCUCGAGUGGCGAACGGGUGAGUAACACGUGAGUAACCUGCCCUUGACUUUGGGAUAACUUCAGGAAACUGGGGCUAAUACCGGAUAGGAGCUCCUGCUGCAUGGUGGGGGUUGGAAAGUUUCGGCGGUUGGGGAUGGACUCGCGGCUUAUCAGCUUGUUGGUGGGGUAGUGGCUUACCAAGGCUUUGACGGGUAGCCGGCCUGAGAGGGUGACCGGCCACAUUGGUACUGAGGUACGGCCCAGACUCCUACGGGAGGCAGCAGUGGGGAAUAUUGCACAAUGGGCGGGAGCCUGAUGCAGCGGCGCCGCGUGCGGGAUGACGGCCUUCGGGUUGUAAACCGCUUUCGCCUGUGACGAAGCGUGAGUGACGGUAAUGGGUAAAGAAGCACCGGCUAACUACGUG